rnacentral:rRNA from 1 species
UAGGGAAUCUUCCACAAUGGACGAAAGUCUGAUGGAGCAACGCCGCGUGAGUGAAGAAGGUGUUCGGAUCGUAAAGCUCUGUUGUUGGUGAAGAAGGAUAGAGGCAGUAACUGGUCUUUAUUUGACGGUAAUCAACCAGAAAGUCACGGCUAACUACGUGUCAG